rnacentral:rRNA from 1 species
GAUUAAGUUAUUAAGGGCGCACGGUGGAUGCCUUGGCACUAGAAGCCGAUGAAGGACGUUACUAACGACGAUAUGCUUUGGGUAGCUGUAAGUAAGCGUUGAUCCAGAGAUUUCCGAAUGGGGGAACCCAGCAUGAGUUAUGUCAUGUUAUCGACAUGUGAAUUCAUAGCAUGUCAGAAGGCAGACCCGGAGAACUGAAACAUCUUAGUACCCGGAGGAAGAGAAAGAAAAAUCGAUUCCCUGAGUAGCGGCGAGCGAAACGGGAAGAGCCCAAACCAACAAGCUUGCUUGUUGGGGUUGUAGGACACUCUAUACGGAGUUACAAAAGAACAUGUUAGACGAAUCAUCUGGAAAGAUGAAUCAAAGAAGGUAAUAAUCCUGUAGUCGAAAACAUAUUCUCUCUUGAGUGGAUCCUGAGUACGACGGAGCACGUGAAAUUCCGUCGGAAUCUGGGAGGACCAUCUCCUAAGGCUAAAUACUCUCUAGUGACCGAUAGUGAACCAGUACCGUGAGGGAAAGGUGAAAAGUACCCCGGAAGGGGAGUGAAAGAGAACUUGAAACCGUGUGCUUACAAGUAGUCAGAGCCCGUUAAUGGGUGAUGGCGUGCCUUUUGUAGAAUGAACCGGCGAGUUACGAUCUGAUGCAAGGUUAAGCAGCAAAUGUGGAGCCGCAGCGAAAGCGAGUCUGAAUAGGGCGUUGAGUAUUUGGUCGUAGACCCGAAACCAGGUGAUCUACCCUUGGUCAGGUUGAAGUUCAGGUAACACUGAAUGGAGGACCGAACCGACUUACGUUGAAAAGUGAGCGGAUGAACUGAGGGUAGCGGAGAAAUUCCAAUCGAACUUGGAGAUAGCUGGUUCUCUCCGAAAUAGCUUUAGGGCUAGCCUCAAGUGAUGAUUAUUGGAGGUAGAGCACUGUUUGGACGAGGGGCCCCUCUCGGGUUACCGAAUUCAGACAAACUCCGAAUGCCAAUUAAUUUAACUUGGGAGUCAGAACAUGGGUGAUAAGGUCCGUGUUCGAAAGGGAAACAGCCCAGACCACCAGCUAAGGUCCCAAAAUAUAUGUUAAGUGGAAAAGGAUGUGGCGUUGCCCAGACAACUAGGAUGUUGGCUUAGAAGCAGCCAUCAUUUAAAGAGUGCGUAAUAGCUCACUAGUCGAGUGACACUGCGCCGAAAAUGUACCGGGGCUAAACAUAUUACCGAAGCUGUGGAUUGUCCUUUGGACAAUGGUAGGAGAGCGUUCUAAGGGCGUCGAAGCAUGAUCGCAAGGACAUGUGGAGCGCUUAGAAGUGAGAAUGCCGGUGUGAGUAGCGAAAGACGGGUGAGAAUCCCGUCCACCGAUUGACUAAGGUUUCCAGAGGAAGGCUCGUCCGCUCUGGGUUAGUCGGGUCCUAAGCUGAGGCCGACAGGCGUAGGCGAUGGAUAACAGGUUGAUAUUCCUGUACCACCUAGUAUCGUUUUAAUCGAUGGGGGGACGCAGUAGGAUAGGCGAAGCGUGCUGUUGGAGUGCACGUCCAAGCAGUAAGGCUGAGUGUUAGGCAAAUCCGGCACUCAUAAGGCUGAGCUGUGAUGGGGAGAGGAAAUUGUUUCCUCGAGUCGUUGAUUUCACACUGCCGAGAAAAGCCUCUAGAUAGAUAACAGGUGCCCGUACCGCAAACCGACACAGGUAGUCAAGAUGAGAAUUCUAAGGUGAGCGAGCGAACUCUCGUUAAGGAACUCGGCAAAAUGACCCCGUAACUUCGGGAGAAGGGGUGCUCUUUAGGGUUCACGCCCAGAAGAGCCGCAGUGAAUAGGCCCAAGCGACUGUUUAUCAAAAACACAGGUCUCUGCUAAACCGUAAGGUGAUGUAUAGGGGCUGACGCCUGCCCGGUGCUGGAAGGUUAAGAGGAGUGGUUAGCUUCUGCGAAGCUACGAAUCGAAGCCCCAGUAAACGGCGGCCGUAACUAUAACGGUCCUAAGGUAGCGAAAUUCC